AACGCGAAGAACCUUACCUGGGCUUGACGUCCCUGGAAUCCUGUAGAGAUACGGGAGUGCCUUCGGGAAUCAGGUGACAGGUGGUGCAUGGUUGUCGUCAGCUCGUGUCGUGAGAUGUUGGGUUAAGUCCCGCAACGAGCGCAACCCCUAUUGUCAGUUGCCAUCAUUCAGUUGGGCACUCUGGCGAGACUGCCGGUGACAAAUCGGAGGAAGGUGGGGACGACGUCAAAUCAUCAUGCCCCUUAUGCCCAGGGCUACACACGUACUACAAUGGCCGAUAACAAAGUGCAGCGAAACCGUGAGGUGGAGCGAAUCACAAAACUCGGUCUCAGUUCAGAUUGCAGGCUGCAACUCGCCUGCAUGAAGUUGGAAUUGCUAGUAAUCGCGAAUCAGAAUGUCGCGGUGAAUACGUUCCCGGGUCUUGUACACACGC
rnacentral:rRNA from 1 species